GAGGUCACGAAAGCGCUCAAGCGUGCUACCAAUCUUGCUGGCAGGCACGAGAUAACCCACGUUCUGUCGACGCUUUCAAUUGGGUUCGGUCCUCUGGCUACAGCAUCGCGCAUUGUUAAAAGACGAUGACUGUCGUGUUGUAUUCAUGUGUUGCUUACAAUCGUUAAUUUGUCUUUACAUUUUCCAUAGUCCAAAAAAGGUGGCCAAAGAAAGGUUUAAACGUCGCAUGGAAAAACUCAGACGACAUCAUGAUGAGUGCACGAGGAAACAUUCACCGAAGACAAAGGAAAGUCCGAAGCAAUCACCAAGGUCUGACACCAUGACACAUCAUCAGGACCCAGAUGAUGAACCCCCACCUCCCUAUAAUGAAGACACCUUUGCCUUGCAGAUGAUGUGUACAGAAGUCUCGAUUAAGGAAAGUCAGAAGCAAUCACCAAGGUCUGACACCAUGACACAUAAUCAGGACCCAGAUGAUGAACCCCCACCUCCCUAUAAUGAAGACACC